UACGUAGGGAGCAAGCGUUGUCCGGAAUCAUUGGGCGUAAAGCGCGUGUAGGCGGUUACAUAAGUCUGUUGUGAAAGUCGGAGGCUCAACCUUCGAAAGCCGAUGGAUACUGUGUGACUUGAGUACGGAAGAGGAGAGUGGAAUUCCCGGUGUAGCGGUGAAAUGCGCAGAUAUCGGGAAGAACACCCGUGGCGAAGGCGGCUCUCUGGGACGGUACUGACGCUGAGACGCGAAAGCGUGGGGAGCGAACAGG
rnacentral:rRNA from 1 species